UGCAGUCGAGCGGUAAGGCCCUUCGGGGUACACGAGCGGCGAACGGGUGAGUAACACGUGGGUGAUCUGCCUUGCACUCUGGGAUAAGCCUGGGAAACUGGGUCUAAUACCGGAUAUGACCACGUACUGCAUGGUGUGUGGUGGAAAGAUUUAUCGGUGCGAGAUGGGCCCGCGGCCUAUCAGCUUGUUGGUGGGGUAAUGGCCUACCAAGGCGACGACGGGUAGCCGGCCUGAGAGGGCGACCGGCCACACUGGGACUGAGACACGGCCCAGACUCCUACGGGAGGCAGCAGUGGGGAAUAUUGCACAAUGGGCGGAAGCCUGAUGCAGCGACGCCGCGUGAGGGAUGACGGCCUUCGGGUUGUAAACCUCUUUCGACAGGGACGAAGCGUGAGUGACGGUACCUGUAGAAGAAGCACCGGCCAACUACGUGCCAGCAGCCGCGGUAAUACGUAGGGUGCGAGCGUUGUCCGGAAUUACUGGGCGUAAAGAGCUUGUAGGCGGUUCGUCGCGUCGAUUGUGAAAACUUGCAGCUCAACUGCAAGCUUGCAGUCGAUACGGGCGGACUAGAGUACUUCAGGGGAGACUGGAAUUCCUGGUGUAGCGGUGAAAUGCGCAGAUAUCAGGAGGAACACCGGUGGCGAAGGCGGGUCUCUGGGAAGUAACUGACGCUGAGAAGCGAAAGCGUGGGUAGCGAACAGGAUUAGAUACCCUGGUAGUCCACGCCGUAAACGGUGGGUACUAGGUGUGGGUUUCCUUCCACGGGAUCCGUGCCGUAGCUAACGCAUUAAGUACCCCGCCUGGGGAGUACGGCCGCAAGGCUAAAACUCAAAGGAAUUGACGGGGGCCCCGCACAAGCGGCGGA
rnacentral:rRNA from 1 species